AUAAAUGUUUAUAGUUUAUAGAAUUUAUUUAAAAAUUUAUUUUACAUAUAAAUUUUGGUAUUAAUUUUAAAAUUUAUUUUAAUAAUGAAUUAAUUAUUAUUGUAGUAAUUAAUAUUAAAUUAUUUAAGAAAUUAAGAUUUAGUAAUAUUUAAAUUAAUAACUAAUUUUGUGCCAGCAGUUGCGGUUAAACAAAAAUUAAAUUAAAUUUUAUUAGUGAUUAAUUAAUAAUUAAUUAAAUAGUUUAAAUUUUAGAUUAUUAGGUGAAAUUUUAAUUUAAUAUAAUAUUAUAAAAUUUUUAUGAUUUGGUAAAAUUUACUAAAAACUAGGAUUAGAUACCCUAUUAUUAAAAUUUUAAAUUUAAAAUACUAAAAUAGUAUAUGAUUAUUCAUUGAAACUUAAAUAAUUUGGCGGUAUUUUAGUUCAUUUAGAGGAAUCUGUUUAAUAAUUGAUAAUCCACGAAUAAAUUUACUUAGUUUAUAAUUUUGUAUAUCGUUGUUAUAAAAAUAUUUUUUAAUAAAAAUAAUAUUUAAAAAUUUAUAUAUAUAAAAUUAAAUCAGAUCAAGAUGCAGAUUAUAAUUAAGAAUAUAAUGGAUUACAAUAAAAUUAUUUAAAUGAAUUUUAAUUUGAAAUAAUUAAUUGAAAGUGGAUUUAAAUGUAAUUUUAUUUAAUUUAAUAAAAUGAUUAUAAAUUGAAAUAUGUACAUAUUGCCCGUCGCUUUCAUAUAAUGUAUAUAUCUAUAUUUAUGUUUAUACAUAAGUUGAAAUAAGUCGUAACAAAGUAGAGGUACUGGAAAGUGUUUCUAGAAAGA
rnacentral:ncRNA from 1 species